rnacentral:rRNA from 1 species
AAAAAAUUAAAAUAAAUUACUAAAAUAGUAUAUAAUUAUUUAUUGAAACUUAAAUAAUUUGGCGGUAUUUUAGUUCAUUUAGAGGAAUCUGUCUAGUAAUUGAUAAUCCACGAAUAAUCAUAUUUAAUUUAUAAUUUUAUAUAUCGUUGUUAAAAAAAUAUUUUUAAAUAAAAAUAAUAUUUUAAAAUUUUAAUAGUAAAAUUAAUUCAGAUCAAGAUGUAGAUAAUAAUUAAAAUAUAAGAUGGAUUACAAUAUAAAUAUAUAAAUGGAUAUUAAUUUUGAAAUAAUUAGUUAAAAGUGGAUUUAAAUGUAAUUUUAAAUAAUUUUUUAAAAUGAUUAAUAAUUGAAAUAUGUACAUAUUGCCCGUCACUUUCAUUUAAAAAUUGAAAUAAGUCGUAACAAAGUAGGGGUACUGGAAAGUGUUCCUAGAAAGA